CAACAUAUCUAAAAUCCAAGAUGGUGUCGUACUGGAGGCAAGCCGGGCUAAGUUAUCUGAACUACUCAUCCAUCUGUGCAAAGCUGGUUAGAAGAUGUCUCAAGCCAGACUUACGAGUGGAGGCUCUGAGGCGUGAAGAUUCUCUUAUGAAGUCUGUUAAAUGGGAAGGUGGCAAGCAAGCUGGGCAAGCAAAAACUAUCAGCCAGUGAUGACUGAAGCGGUACUCUAACAUUUACUUGAGUUUCUAAAAUGGUUCAAGACUGACUGUUGUGUGAAGAGUUCAAUCUCUGGACUUCAUGAAGGAUUGGAUGUAACCUUUUUUGAAUAAAUAUUGUGACAAAAGA